rnacentral:rRNA from 1 species
UACGGAGGGUGCGAGCGUUAUCCGGAAUUACUGGGUUUAAAGGGUGCGUAGGCGGCUAUGUAAGUCAGGAGUGAAAGUUUGCGGCUCAACCGUAAAAUUGCUUUUGAUACUGCAUGGCUAGAAUCAGGAUGAGGUUAGCGGAAUGUGGCAUGUAGCGGUGAAAUGCAUAGUUAUGCCAUAGAACACCAAUUGCGAAGGCAGCUGGCUAGACCUGCAUUGACGCUGAGGCACGAAAGCGUGGGGAGCGAACAGG